rnacentral:rRNA from 1 species
UACGUAGGGGCUAGCGUUAUCCGGAAUUACUGGGCGUAAAGGGUGCGUAGGUGGUUUCUUAAGUCAGAGGUGAAAGGCUACGGCUCAACCGUAGUAAGCCUUUGAAACUGGGAAACUUGAGUGCAGGAGAGGAGAGUGGAAUUCCUAGUGUAGCGGUGAAAUGCGUAGAUAUUAGGAGGAACACCAGUUGCGAAGGCGGCUCUCUGGUCUAUUAUUGACGCUGAGGCCCGAAAGCAUGGGUAGCAAACAGGAUUAGAUACCCGCGUAGUCCCUGAG